GCAAAUCAUUGGCUCUCCCCGGGCCUGGUUCCCGCUUCUCUAACGGAACAGGACUGGACUGGAUCCACUCGGACACCCCUCUCAUCACUACGAUGCACCGUAGGCCUCUGCGGCGAGCCGGUUACCACGGAGACGGGCCGGCGCCGGCUCUGCGACCUUCCGCGGCCUGGGCCUGCUGGUGGCCUGGCGCAGAACAGCCCCCACUCCCCCGGCUUCCAGACGGGCCGGUCACGUGACCGCACAUCCAGCCGUUGGUUCUGGGGCCCGAGGAGGCAGAGCCAUUAGUCUGGGCCGGGGCCCCGGGGAGGCCGAACUACAUUUCCCAGAAGGCUCCGAGCACACUCCGCUUGUGGUCGCGCGGCAACGAAGCGGGGAAGAGUACAUUUGCUGAGACAGCCUCAGCCAAGGCCAGGAUAUUCAUGUAACUCUCAACAAUCAGGUGGGGACAGCUGAAGUCAAGAUCUAGGAGACCCACGGUUCAGAACAAUUUUCUUAAGUGGUACAAAUGCAGUUACCUGUUCCAUGGGUAUCCGGAGUACUGCAUUUUAUUAACUCUCAUGUCAUCAAUUACCAGCAAAGCUCUACUCUUUGUCACGGCAAUGUCACCCACCCUGUGGACAUAAGGGUCUUCUGGUGUUCCCUAAGCAGUCUGAUGUUUCCAGGGGCCUUCCUGAACAGUUCCGAGACGGACGUUUAGUUACAAUCCCAGCCCUCCUGCUGCCGUCAGAGGGGUUCUUCUCCAAUGGAGAUGUGACCACGUUCAUCUGCAGUGAAACUCCGUCGGUGGCACCUCAAACUCUCCCUUCUUGGCCUGGUCUGAGAGGCCCUUCACCAUCUGUGCCCUCGUCUUCUCCCCUGACCCACACACCCAACUCCACCCCCCAUGUCACUCAUGCGCACCCUCACUCCCCGACACGUUCCCUGGGGCCCUGCUGAGCUCUCCUGGGUUCCCCAGGUGACUAGGCUGUUUCAUGUGCAUGUCACACCUGUGAGAGAAAGAAAGUCAUCUUACCUCAACCGUAUGCCAGCACAGGCAUGGCAGAAGUCACUUUGUGCGUUACAAAAUGGCCCUGUGAAAUUAUAAACCAGAACUAGGAUGCCCAGAUCCUUCCCUCCAAAGGGCUGAUAGUUGAAACACUUCUCUGAACUUCCACAGGCAAACAUAUUCAUAUUCCAAAUCAUGUUUUCCAAUACCGUUAAAAAUGUCCAUCAAUAAAAAUACAGUAUUGCAACAUAAAUGGUUAUUAGAAUUAUCCAAUAUAAAAUGCCAACCUAAACAGUUAGGUGGAAUAUUAUGCAGCUGUAAAAAAGGGACGAGGCAGCUCUAUCUGUAUUGACACAAAUUCCCAAGAUAAAAAAGCGUAAAAAACAAGUUGUAGAAAAGUGUCAACAG
rnacentral:lncRNA from 1 species